UGCUGAAAGCAUCUAAGCACGAAACUUGCCCCGAGAUGAGUUCUCCCUGACUCCUUGAGAGUCCUGAAGGAACGUUGAAGACGACGACGUUGAUAGGCCGGGUGUGUAAGCGCAGCGAUGCGUUGAGCUAACCGGUACUAAUGAACCGUGAGGCUUAACCUUACAACGUCGAAG
rnacentral:rRNA from 1 species